rnacentral:rRNA from 1 species
CCUACGGGAGGCAGCAGUGGGGAAUAUUGCACAAUGGGCGCAAGCCUGAUGCAGCCAUGCCGCGUGUAUGAAGAAGGCCUUCGGGUUGUAAAGUACUUUCAGCGGGGAGGAAGGGAGUAAAGUUAAUACCUUUGCUCAUUGACGUUACCCGCAGAAGAAGCACCGGCUAACUCCGUGCCAGCAGCCGCGGUAAUACGGAGGGUGCAAGCGUUAAUCGGAAUUACUGGGCGUAAAGCGCACGCAGGCGGUUUGUUAAGUCAGAUGUGAAAUCCCCGGGCUCAACCUGGGAACUGCAUCUGAUACUGGCAAGCUUGAGUCUCGUAGAGGGGGGUAGAAUUCCAGGUGUAGCGGUGAAAUGCGUAGAGAUCUGGAGGAAUACCGGUGGCGAAGGCGGCCCCCUGGACGAAGACUGACGCUCAGGUGCGAAAGCGUGGGGAGCAAACAGGAAUUAGAUACCCUGGUAGUCCACGCCGUAAACGAUGUCGACUUGGAGGUUGUGCCCUUAGAGGCGUGGCUUCCGGAGCUAACGCGUUAAGCGACCGCCUGGGGAUACGGCCGCAAGGUUAAACCNCGAAUGAAUUGACGGNUGAGACGNGACGACGGACGACGACGAGGGAGAGG